rnacentral:rRNA from 1 species
GAUUAACGCGUGGCGGCAUCGCCUAAUACAGUGCAAAUCGAACGAAGCCUUUUGGCUUAGUGGUGAACGGGUGGAGUAACGACGUAAUCCAAUCCACCCUUAAGUUUGGGAUAACUAGUCGGAAGAUUAGCUAAUACCGGAUAAUAACAUUCACUUGCAUGAGUGAAUGUGGAAAGUUGCGUUUGCAACGCUUUUGGAUGAGGGUGCGACGUAUCAGAUAGUUGGUGAGGUAACGGCUCACCAAGUCAUUGACGCGUAGCUGUACUGAGAGGUAGAACAGCCACAAUGGGACUGAGACACGGCCCAU